GACGAACGCUGGCGGCGUGCUUAACACAUGCAAGUCGAACGGAAAGGCCCUGCUUUUGUGGGGUGCUCGAGUGGCGAACGGGUGAGUAACACGUGAGUAACCUGCCCUUGACUUUGGGAUAACUUCAGGAAACUGGGGCUAAUACCGGAUAGGAGCUCCUGCUGCAUGGUGGGGGUUGGAAAGUUUCGGCGGUUGGGGAUGGACUGGCGGCUUAUCAGCUUGUUGGUGGGGUAGUGGCUUACCAAGGCUUUGACGGGUAGCCGGCCUGAGAGGGUGACCGGCCACAUUGGGACUGAGAUACGGACCAGACUCCUACAGGAGGCAGCAGUGGGGAAUAUUGCACAAUGGGCGGAAGCCUGAUGCAGCAACGCCGCGUGCGGGAUGACGGCCUUCGGGUUGUAAACCGCUUUCGCCUGUGACGAAGCGUGAGUGACGGUAAUGGGUAAAGAAGCACCGGCUAACUACGUG
rnacentral:rRNA from 1 species